rnacentral:ribozyme from 1 species
UGUCCAGUAACUCCUAUCCCUACCUACCUGGUACCGCCUGGGGUACGAGUAACCGUAGGGAAGACCAACCAACCCUGGUGGGACCUUGGUCAUAUGCUGACAGGGAAGG